UACGGGGGGGGCAAGCGUUGUUCGGAAUUACUGGGCGUAAAGGGCUCGUAGGUGGCCAACUAAGUCAGACGUGAAAUCCCUCGGCUUAACCGGGGAACUGCGUCUGAUACUGGAUGGCUUGAGGUUGGGAGAGGGAUGCGGAAUUCCAGGUGUAGCGGUGAAAUGCGUAGAUAUCUGGAGGAACACCGGUGGCGAAGGCGGCAUCCUGGACCAAUUCUGACACUGAGGAGCGAAAGCCAGGGGAGCAAACGGG
rnacentral:rRNA from 1 species